rnacentral:rRNA from 1 species
GACGAACGCUGGCGGCGUGCUUAACACAUGCAAGUCGAGCGGUAAGGCCCUUUCGGGGGUACACGAGCGGCGAACGGGUGAGUAACACGUGGGUGACCUGCCCUUAGCUCUGGGAUAAGCCUGGGAAACUGGGUCGUAAUACCGGAUAUGACUCCAUGACGCAUGUUGUGGGGUGGAAAGCCUUGUGCGGCUAGGGAUGGGCCCGCGGCCUAUCAGCUUGUUGGUGGGGUGAUGGCCUACCAAGGCGACGACGGGUAGCCGGCCUGAGAGGGCGACCGGCCACACUGGGACUGAGACACGGCCCAGACUCCUACGGGAGGCAGCAGU